rnacentral:rRNA from 1 species
GCUGGCGGCGCGCCUAACACAUGCAAGUCGAACGAGAAAGUGGAGCAAUCCAUGAGUACAGUGGCGUACGGGUGAGUAACACGUGGGUGAUCUACCUCUUAGUGAGGAAUAACCCUGGGAAACCGGGGCUAAUACCGCAUAAGCCUGAGAAGGGAAAGCAGCAAUGCGCUGAGAGAGGAGCCCGCGGCCGAUUAGCUAGUUGGUGAGGUAAAAGCCCACCAAGGCAGAGAUCGGUAGCCGGCCUGAGAGGGCACACGGCCACACUGGCACUGAAACACGGGCCAGACUCCUACGGGAGGCAGCAGUGGGGAAUCUUGCACAAUGGGGGAAACCCUGAUGCAGCGACGCCGCGUGAGCGAUGAAGCCCUUCGGGGUGUAAAGCUCUUUCGUCAGGGAAGAUCAUGACGGUACCUGGAGAAGCAGCUGCGGCUAACUACGUGCCAGCAGCCGCGGUAAUACGUAGGCAGCAAGCGUUGUUCGGAGUUACUGGGCGUAAAGGGUGUGUAGGCGGUUCUUUAAGUUUGGUGUGAAAUCUCCCGGCUCAACCGGGAGGGUGCGCCGAAUACUGAGGGACUAGAGUGUGGGAGAGGAAAGUGGAAUUCCUGGUGUA